AUUGAACGCUGGCGGCAGGCCUAACACAUGCAAGUCGAGCGGGGUUUUCGGACCCAGCGGCGGACGGGUGAGUAAUGCGUAGGAAGCUACCCGAUAGAGGGGGAUACCAGUUGGAAACGACUGUUAAUACCGCAUAAUGUCUACGGACCAAAGUGUGGGACCUUCGGGCCACAUGCUAUCGGAUGCGCCUACGUGGGAUUAGCUAGUUGGUGGGGUAAUGGCUCACCAAGGCGACGAUCCCUAGCUGGUUUGAGAGGAUGAUCAGCCACACUGGAACUGAGACACGGUCCAGACUCCUACGGGAGGCAGCAGUGGGGAAUAUUGGACAAUGGGCGCAAGCCUGAUCCAGCCAUGCCGCAUGUGUGAAGAAGGCCUUCGGGUUGUAAAGCACUUUCAGUAGGGAGGAAGGGUGUUGUGUUAAUAGCACAGCAUUUUGACGUUACCUACAGAAGAAGCACCGGCUAACUCUGUGCCAGCCGCCGCGGUAAGAC
rnacentral:rRNA from 1 species